rnacentral:rRNA from 1 species
ACUCCUACGGGAGGCAGCAGUGAGGAAUAUUGGUCAAUGGACGCAAGUCUGAACCAGCCAUGUCGCGUGCAGGAAGACUGCCCCUACUGGGUUGUAAACUGCUUUUUAUACGGGAAGAAAUAUAGCUACGUGUAGUUAUUUUGCCGGGUACCGUAUGAAUAAGCAUCGGCUAACUCCGUGCCAGCAGCCGCGGUAAUACGGAGGAUGCGAGCGUUAUCCGGAUUCAUUGGGUUUAAAGGGUGCGUAGGCGGAAGUAUAAGUCAGGGGUGAAAGUUUGUGGCUCAACCAUAAAAUUGCCUUUGAUACUGUAUUUCUUGAGUACAUUUGAGGUAGGCGGAAUGUGUUGUGUAGCGGUGAAAUGCUUAGAUAUAACACAGAACACCGAUUGCGAAGGCAGCUUAC